GACGAACGCUGGCGGCGUGCCUAAUACAUGCCAGUUGAGCGCUGAAGGUUGGUACUUGUACCAACUGGAUGAGCAGCGAACGGGUGAGUAACGCGUGGGGAAUCUGCCUUUGAGCGGGGGACAACAUUUGGAAACGAAUGCUAAUACCGCAUAAAAACUUUAAACACAAGUUUUAAGUUUGAAAGAUGCAAUUGCAUCACUCAAAGAUGAUCCCGCGUUGUAUUAGCUAGUUGGUGAGGUAAAGGCUCACCAAGGCGAUGAUACAUAGCCGACCUGAGAGGGUGAUCGGCCACAUUGGGACUGAGACACGGCCCAAACGCCUACGGGAGGCAGCAGUAGGGAAUCUUCGGCAAUGGACGAAAGUCUGACCGAGCAACGCCGCGUGAGUGAAGAAGGUUGUCGGAUCGUAAAACUCUGUUGGUAGAGAAGAACGUUGGUGAGAGUGGAAAGCUCAUCAAGUGACGGUAACUACCCAGAAAGGGACGGCUAACUACGUG
rnacentral:rRNA from 1 species